rnacentral:rRNA from 1 species
UGCCAGACUCCUACGGGAGGCAGCAGUGGGGAAUAUUGCACAAUGGGGGAAACCCUGAUGCAGCGACGCCGCGUGAGUGAGGAAGUAUUUCGGUAUGUAAAGCUCUAUCAGCAGGGAAGAAAAUGACGGUACCUGACUAAGAAGCCCCGGCUAACUACGUGCCAGCAGCCGCGGUAAUACGUAGGGGGCAAGCGUUAUCCGGAUUUACUGGGUGUAAAGGGGGCGCAGACGGCAGCGCAAGCCAGGAGUGAAAGCCCGGGGCCCAACCCCGGGACUGCUCUUGGAACUGCGCGGCUGGAGUGCAGGAGGGGCAGGCGGAAUUCCUGGUGUAGCGGUGAAAUGCGUAGAUAUCAGGAGGAACACCGGUGGCGAAGGCGGCCUGCUGGACUGCAACUGACGUUGAGGCCCGAAAGCGUGGGGAGCAAACAGGAUUAGAUACCCGGGUACG